rnacentral:rRNA from 1 species
GACGAACGCUGGCGGCGUGCUUAACACAUGCAAGUCGAACGGAAAGGCCCUGCUUUUGUGGGGUGCUCGAGUGGCGAACGGGUGAGUAACACGUGAGUAACCUGCCCUUGACUUUGGGAUAACUUCAGGAAACUGGGGCUAAUACCGGAUAGGAGCUCCUGCUGCAUGGUGGGGGUUGGAAAGUUUCGGCGGUUGGGGAUGGACUCGCGGCUUAUCAGCUUGUUGGUGGGGUAGUGGCUUACCAAGGCUUUGACGGGUAGCCGGCCUGAGAGGGUGACCGGCCACAUUGGGACUGAGAUACGGCCCAGUCUCCUACGUGAGGCAGCAGUGGGGAAUAUUGCACAAUGGGCGGAAGCCUGAUGCAGCAACGCCGCGUGCGGGAUGACGGCCUUCGGGUUGUAAACCGCUUUCGCCUGUGACGAAGCGUGAGUGACGGUAAUGGGUAAAGAAGCACCGGCUAACUACGUG